AGAGUUUGAUCCUGGCUCAGGACGAACGCUGGCGGCGUGCCUAACACAUGCAAGUCGAGCGGGGAACUUCGGUUCUCAGCGGCGGACGGGUGAGUAACACGUGGGUAACCUGCCUUGUAGAGGGGGAUAGCCUUCCGAAAGGAAGAUUAAUACCGCAUAACAUUAUGCUUUCGCAUGAGAGUAUAAUCAAAGGAGCAAUCCGCUACAAGAUGGACCCGCGGCGCAUUAGCUAGUUGGUGAGGUAACGGCUCACCAAGGCGACGAUGCGUAGCCGGCCUGAGAGGGUGAACGGCCACAUUGGAACUGAGACACGGUCCAGACUCCUACGGGAGGCAGCAGUGGGGAAUAUUGCACAAUGGGCGAAAGCCUGAUGCAGCAACGCCGCGUGAGUGAUGAAGGCCUUCGGGUUGUAAAGCUCUGUCUUCUGGGACGAUAAUGACGGUACCAGAGGAGGAAGCCACGGCUAACUACGUGCCAGCAGCCGCGGUAAUACGUAGGUGGCAAGCGUUGUCCGGAUUUACUGGGCGUAAAGGAUGCGUAGGCGGAUGCUUAAGUCAGAUGUGAAAAUCCCGGGCUUAACUUGGGAACUGCAUUUGAAACUGGGUAUCUAGAGUACGGGAGAGGAGAGUGGUAUUCCUAGUGUAGCGGUGAAAUGCGUAGAGAUUAGGAAGAACACCAGUGGCGAAGGCGACUCUCUGGACCGUAACUGACGCUGAGGCAUGAAAGCGUGGGGAGCAAACAGGAUUAGAUACCCUGGUAGUCCACGCCGUAAACUAUGAAUACUAGGUGUGGGAGUUGUCAUGACUUCCGUGCCGCAGUUAACACAAUAAGUAUUCCGCCUGGGGAGUACGGUCGCAAGAUUAAAACUCAAAUGAAUUGACGG
rnacentral:rRNA from 1 species